rnacentral:SRP_RNA from 14 species
CCUGGAGGGUGUCACGCCCCUCUGUCACCUGAGUUGGGAGGCACUGUGUGCCUGGGACUGCCCCACACACCCUAGGCCUCCCUUGGCCUGSUUGCACCAUGGUGCCAUGCAGAGACUGCGCCCACUGAAAGACAGCUGCCCUCACUGGCACCGCCUGGCAACAUUGGCGGUGUCUUGGAGGCUAUGAUGCGGAGGGGACUGGGCAAGGCUGGCAACAGAGCAGCCAAAACCUCCCACAGCUGUCAGUUCAGGGAACACGCAGUUGAGUGGUGCUGCAGCAGGUUGGGCUGAGGGUGCAAGGUAGGACUGGGCAUACC